rnacentral:rRNA from 1 species
GAUGAACGCUGGCGGCGUGCCUAAUACAUGCCAGUCGAGCGAACGGACGAGAAGCUUGCUUCUCUGAUGUUAGCGGCGGACGGGUGAGUAACACGUGGAUAACCUACCUAUAAGACUGGGAUAACUUCGGGAAACCGGAGCUAAUACCGGAUAAUAUUUUGAACCGCAUGGUUCAAAAGUGAAAGACGGUCUUGCUGUCACUUAUAGAUGGAUCCGCGCUGCAUUAGCUAGUUGGUAAGGUAACGGCUUACCAAGGCAACGAUGCAUAGCCGACCUGAGAGGGUGAUCGGCCACACUGGAACUGAGACACGGUCCAGACUCCUACGGGAGGCAGCAGUAGGGAAUCUUCCGCAAUGGGCGAAAGCCUGACGGAGCAACGCCGCGUGAGUGAUGAAGGUCUUCGGAUCGUAAAACUCUGUUAUUAGGGAAGAGCAUAUGUGUAAGUAACUGUGCACAUCUUGACGGUACCUAAUCAGAAAGCCACGGCUAACUACGUG